GCAAGGGAAUCCUUUUGGAAAGUGUUUCUUCACUGAAAUAAGUUCGUUAAAUUUUGUUCUUUUUGCACUGUUAAAUAACAGAAAGGGUAGAAGAGCUAUAUUUUGUUUUGCUAUUUUGUUAACACUCUAAAGUAACAGACUUUUUAAAGCAAGUGCAAUAAAAGCUUGCCAGAAUAAUUAGAGAAAGUAUUUCUUUUGUAACUGCUGGCAGAAGUGAAGCAGAGCCAACCAGGAUUUCUUCCACCUACUUCAGCUGAAGAAAUAAAACCACACCAGAGCUGCUUUCCCAUGUGAAAUUGAAAAGACUCCACUUUUCAGCAGAACAUGAAGCUUUACUAUGAAGACCAGACGACUUUCUGAGAAUAUUAAGAUGCAUUUUCAUAACUGGACUCUCUGUCUCAGGAGAUUAUCUGACUUCUUCACCUCCUCCAGCUGUGAGUUCCCCCCUGCUUCUAUUAUUAUAUUCCAGGAGAAUCCUUUUUCAAUGGAACCUGCCUCUGUUAUGUGCUGAGAAAUUUCAUGCCCAAGGGGUGUGACAGGACAAGGAGAGGUGAUUUCAAGCUGAAAGAGGAAAGAUUUAAACUGUGUAUAAGAAAAAGAUUUUUAAGGAUUCCGAUGUUUUCUGACACCAUUGCACUCCCUGGCACAGGAGGGAUGAAUGGAACGGAAGCUCAUGUGUGGAAGAUUACUGAUUUUUGUAGCAUUGCAGACAGGAGCUGCCAGCAGGGAAGCUAAUACAUGAGGGGCUGAGGAGUGAGUGCUUUAGGAGGAAACCAUCUAGAUCUCUCAGACAGCUCAGUGUGUAAUUCUGGUAAUACUAUGGACUCUUUUCAUUCCACCUUCUGUAAUAAUUUAUGAGAGCUAAGAGACUGUAGUUAGUAAUGGGUCUACUAUGGCUAUUUUUCCUUGGAGCUAUAUCCUUAAUGGUAUUUUUAUACAACAUUUUUUUGCCUUUGUGAGCUGGACUGUUUUGCUGUGUGCUCAAAGCCCAUUGGGGCACAGUGUGGGUGGCUGUGGGUGCUGCACCUGUAGCAAAGUAGGGAUAUCCCAAAGCUCUGGAGAAGGGGAGGAUGUGCCCGGGGCCCUCUCACAUUUCACCAGGAGUUGUUCUCUUCUCUUGAUAAAUAAAUACUGAGUAUUAGGGUUCACUAAUAUUCCAAUAUCAAG